rnacentral:lncRNA from 10 species
CUCUUUCUUCUGAUCUUCGUUCUCAGCUCUCACCAAACUGGCUUAGAGACUUCACUAGGAAGAUGUGUCCUCCGCCAUCCCAGAAUUCUACAGCUCGUGAAAGGUAAAACAGACCAUCACUCCAACACAGUGCACCAAAGUCGCAACGUAUGGUGUUAAUCAUUUAAGAAAGUGAUGUUUUAACUAUGAAAAUAGCUGUCAAUUGCAAACUAUGACUGCAAAAGAAGAGUUUUAUCUUUAUAAUGAUCAAAUAAUUUAACAUGACUACAGUAUGGUUUAUCGUGACUCCUGCAUGUCGGGACAGUUCCAGGGAGGUGACACGGGCUCAGAAUCAAAUGUUAUCCAGUGUCACCGGAUGGACAGCAGCACCCCAGCACCUUCCUGGGUGAGCCUCUGUGCUUGUCACUACUUCUGGAGUAGCCCUGGCCAAGCCAGACUGCAGUCCCAGCUCCACCUUCUCCUUACGCAGACCUCAGGUGAUGGAGCAGUCAACUUCACGAAUACAGGUGGAAAUACUUUGUGAAGCAAGGGGGCGAGUAGAGCCUGCAGACCCUCUGCCUCACUCCUUCUGCACAGGCAAGGCAAGCUGUGGGGAAGGAAGCUGGUCUCACCAGAGAGGGUCAUCUUCCUAGGGGCUCGCAGCCCACAAGAAACUCCCUGUUAUAGGUCAUGGAACUGUGGGAACCCCAGCACUGAUUUAGAAGGCAACAGAGAUGUCAAAAGGACACUGUUAUGGCAGUGGGUUCAGGCCCUGAUCCACCUUGAACCUCCCUGGCUGCCAGUGUAAUAUCUUAGAGUGGAGACUGAAUGGAGAACAACUCCCUUCUGGCCAUGGUGCCACGGGGAGAUAGAGGAUGAUUCUGAGAUUACGCAAGACUUUCCUGUCCAAAAUGUGUGUUCAAGGGCCAAGCACGGUCGCUCACGCCUGUAAUCCCAGCAGUUUUGGAGGCCAAAGUGGGCGGAUCACAUGAAGUCAAGGGUUCAAGGCCAGCCUGGCCAACAUGGUGAAACCCCAUCUCUACUAAAAAUGCAAAAAUUAGCCAGGUAUUGUGGCAGGUGCCUGUAAUCCCAGCUACUUGGGAGGCUGAGGCAGAAGAAUUGCUUGAACCUGGGAGGUGGAAGUUGCAGUGAGUCAAGAUCGUGCCACUGCAUUCCAGCCUGGGCGAGAGAGUGAGCCUCCAUCUCAAACAAAAAACCAAACCAAACCAAAACAAAACAAAAAAACCCAAAAAACAAAGUGUGUGUUCAAGGAAUUAGUCUCAAAGGAGCAUUCAACCCAGCACAGUUUUGACAAAGUCAAAUAAGAGUAGCUCCCGUCUUGUCGUGUGCCAGGCACCUUGCUAAACGCUAUAAGCCUUGGUUUUUCCUCCCAUUUAACAAUGUUUGGGUACCUGUUGCUGUGUACAAACCAUCCCAAAUCUCAGUGGUUAAAGAGAGCCAUUCAGUUCGCCCCAGGAUUCUGAGGGUUGACUAGAUUCAGUGGGACAGUCUUCUGUCCCACGUGGUGUCCACUGAGGCUGCGGCCACCUGGGGACUGGCCUGCACUGCUCACUCGGGUCUGGGGCCCUGGCAGGGACAGGUGGAAGGUCAGGUUGUGCUGGGAUUUGGGGAUGGCUGGGCCUCUCCCUCUUCUACACACCUCUCCAUGUAGCGUUUUCACCUGGAGGUGGAGAAGCAGGGCAGACAGACUUCUUCCUCAAUGGUGCAGAGCUUCCCAAAGUACAAAAGUAGAAGCCACCAGGUUUUCUCGUGGCCUAGACUGGGAGUGGCACAGCAUCAUUCUGGCGCUUUCUGUUGGCAAAGCGAGGCACAGGGCCAGCCCGGAUGCAGAGUGGGAGGAGCCGCACAGGGACAUGGAGCACGGCAGGGGUGGUGGUUGUCACUCAAGGAGGCAGAGGCUCAGGAAGAUGGAGUCACUUGAGUUCACAUAGCUGCUGACUGGUCUAUUGCCAAGAUUCACAAUUCAAAUUCAGGUCAGCCAAACUUCAAACCCAGAUUCUUCCCUGCUGCUAAACUGAUCAUAACCCAGGACAUACAGAAAAGAGGGGCAGAGGCUAAACCGUGUCACAAAAGCUAAGAACCAUCCUGAACGAAGGCUUGCAAGUCAUGCUGAGUCAACUUUUAAAAUAGAUUUUAGUCAUGCUCAGAAAAACAGGAACAAGAAAGAAGAGGCUCCCCGCUUGGGACAGAUGGUGACAUUAAACAGAUGAAAACACAGAGCUGCUGAACUCUUAUUUGGCUUCUAUUCUAUCCAGGAUCAUUAUCUUCAAACUGUGAAGGGCAGAGCAAACAUCAGUCCGAGGGAGGCUGUGUUCUGUGUAGAUUCUGAGUCGGAAGUCCUGGGGUUUGCUCAGCUCUGCCCGGCCGGCUGCUUUAACGCAGGAAACCCACACUCGUCCUCCAAGAUGGUGUCCGGCACUAAGCGGAGAAAAUAAAAACAAGCCCACAGGCCAUCUGAAGGGCAAACGAGAUGACGUUGUGACAAUUAAUGAGAUAGCUCAGACCUAGAACAGAGCUACACUCAAUCCAUGUUAAUUUUUAUUGAGGAGGUCAUGUGACCAUCUGAUUUGAACGAAUUCGAUUUCAGAGCAUGAAGGAAGUACGAUGUACAGAAGACACUGAUGGAUGUAUGAGGCGCUUUAAAGAAUGCAGGAGGCCGGAUGUGGUGGCUCAUGCCUGUAAUUCCAGCACUUUGGGAGGCUGAGGCAGGUGGAUCACUUGAAGUCAGGAAUUUGAGACUAGCCUGGCCAACACGGUGAAACCUGUCUCUACUGAAAAUACAAAAAUCAGCUGAGCAUGGUGGCGCACACCUUGUAGUCCUGCUACUUGGGAGGCUGAGGCCUGAGAACUGCUUGAACCCUGGAGGCGGAGGUUGUGUUGAGCCAAGAUUGUGCCACUGCACUACCAGCCUGGGCAACAGAGUGAGACUCUGUCUCAAAAAAAUAAAUAAAUAAAAUAAAAUAGAGAACGCUGGAAAACAGCAAAAGUGCAGGAAAACUAAAGACAAGCAACUGUGGUCCUGAGUUCCAAAAGAGGCAGGUGUUUCAACAAAAUAUAGACCAAUACAAUUGAUUUUAAUCCUGGACAAGGUUCUAGAUGUAAAUCAUGAUAAUAGCCAUACAACAAAAAUCUUGCAGUCAUUAAAAAUCAUGUUGUAAAAGCCUAUUUCAUGAUAAGGAAGACUGUUCUCACUAUAGCGAGUUGUAAAACUGAUGGCAGAACAAUAUGUAUGCUAUUAUCUUAAUUUGGAUUAAAAAAACUUGUAAAUGUGCCUCUCACAAAACAA